rnacentral:rRNA from 1 species
AUUGAACGCUGGCGGCAGGCCUAACACAUGCAAGUCGAGCGAGCGGCGGACGGGUGAGUAAUGUAUGGGGAUCUGACUGAUAGAGGGGGAUAACUACUGGAAACGGUGGCUAAUACCGCAUACUAUCGGAUGAACCCAUAUGGGAUUAGCUAGUAGGUGGGGUAAAGGCUAACCUAGGCGACGAUCUCUAGCUGGUAUGAGAGGAUGACAAGCCACACUGGGACUGAGACACGGCCCAGCCUCCUACGGGAGGCAGCAGUGGGUAAUAUGGCACAAUGGGCGCAAGCCUGAUGCAGCCAUGCCGCGUGUAUGAAGAAGGCCGUCGGGUUGUAAAGUACUUUCAGCGGGGAGUCGUUACCCGCAGAAGAAGCACCGGCGAACUCCGUGCCAGCAGCCGCGGUAAUUC